rnacentral:rRNA from 1 species
GACGAACGCUGGCGGCGUGCUUAACACAUGCAAGUCGAACGGAAAGGCCCUGCUUAUGUGGGGUGCUCGAGUGGCGAACGGGUGAGUAACACGUGAGUAACCUGCCCUUGACUUUGGGAUAACUUCAGGAAACUGGGGCUAAUACCGGAUAGGAGCUCCUGCUGCAUGGUGGGGGCUGGAAAGUUUCGGCGGUUGGGGAUGGACUCGCGGCUUAUCAGCUUGUUGGUGGGGUAGUGGCUUACCAAGGCUUUGACGGGUAGCCGGCCUGAGAGGGUGACCGGCCACAUUGGGACUGAGAUACGGCCCAGCCUCCUACGGGAGGCAGCAGUGGGGAAUAUUGCACAAUGGGCGGAAGCCUGAUGCAGCAACGCCGCGUGCGGGAUGACGGCCUUCGGGUUGUAAACCGCUUUCGCCUGUGACGAAGCGUGAGUGACGGUAAUGGGUAAAGAAGCACCGGCUAACUACGUG